AGUGAACGCUGGCGGUAGGCCUAACACAUGCAAGUCGAACGGCAGCACAGUAAGAGCUUGCGCUUACGGGUGGCGAGUGGCGGACGGGUGCGGAAUACAUCGGAAUCUACUUUUACGCGGGGGAUAACGUAGGGAAACUUACGCUAAUACCGCAUACGGCCUACGGGUGAAAGCAGUGGAGCUUCGGACCUUGCGCGACUGAAUGAGCCGAUGUCGGAUUAGCGAGUCCGCGGGGUAAAGGCCCACCAAGGCGACGAUGCGUAGCCGGACAGAGAGGAUGAUUAGCCAGACUGGAACUGUGACAGGGUCCAGACUCAUACGGGCAGCAGCAGUGGGGAAUCUUGGACAAUGGGCGCAAACCUGAUCCAGCCAUACCGCGUGGGUGAAGAAGGCCUUCUGGUUGUACAGCCCUUUUGUUCGGAAAGAAAAGCAGCAGGUUAAUACCACAAUGUUCUGACGGUACCCAAAGAAUAAGCACCGGCUAACUUCGUG
rnacentral:rRNA from 1 species